rnacentral:rRNA from 1 species
AGCGAACGUUGGCGGCAGGCCUAACACAUGCAAGUCGAACGAACCUUUCGGGGUUAGUGGCGGACGGGUGAGUAACACGUGGGAACGUGCCUUUAGGUUCGGAAUAACUCAGGGAAACUUGUGCUAAUACCGAAUGUGCCCUUCGGGGGAAAGAUUAAUCGCCUUUAGAGCGGCCCGCGUCUGAUUAGCUAGUUGGUUGAGGUAAUGGCUCACCAAGGCGACGAUCAGUAGCUGGUCUGAGAGGAUGAUCAGCCACAUUGGGACUGAGACACGGCCCAAACUCCUACGGGAGGCAGCAGUGGGGAAUCUUGCGCAAUGGGCGAAAGCCUGACGCAGCCAUGCCGCGUGAAUGAUGAAGGUCUUAGGAUUGUAAAAUUCUUUCACCGGGGACGAUAAUGACGGUACCCGGAGAAGAAGCCCCGGCUAACUUCGU